rfam:Oryza sativa (indica cultivar-group) chromosome 1, whole genome shotgun sequence.
AAUAAAUACAGUUUUGCACUGUUUAUAUUCAACGUUUGACCGUCCAUUUUAAUUGAAUUUUUUUUAUGAUUAAUAUUUUUAUUAUUAUUAGAUGAUAAAAUAUAAAUAAUAUUUUAUGUGUGACUAAUUUUUAAAAUAGUUUUUUAUAAAACUUUUAAAUAAGACGGAUGGUUAAAUGCUAAAUACGAAAACCCAUGGUUACACUUAAU